rnacentral:rRNA from 1 species
CUAAGAAUAUUCCGCAAUGGACGAAAGUCUGACGGAGCGACGCCGCGUGGAUGAAGAAGGCCGAAAGGUUGUAAAAUCCUUUUGCUGAUGAAGAAUAAGUGUGGUAGGGAAUGACCGCAUGAUGACAUUAGUCGGUGAAUAAGCCCCGGCUAACUACGUGCCAGCAGCCGCGGUAACACGUAGGGGGCGAGCGUUGUUCGGAAUUAUUGGGCGUAAAGGGCAUGUAGGCGGUUUUGUAAGCCUGGUGUGAAAUCCUGCAGCUUAACUGUAGAAUAGCAUCGGGUACUGCGAGACUUGAAUCACAGAGGGGAAACUAGAAUUCCAGGUGUAGGGGUGGAAUCUGUAGAUAUCUGGAAGAAUACCGGUGGCGAAGGCGGGUUUCUAGCUGAUGAUUGACGCU